rnacentral:misc_RNA from 1 species
AAUCCUCAACCCCGUCCGUCGGUCGGGGCUUGGACUUUGGAGCGUGCUGGCGAAGGUCGGCUCCUCUUUAAAUGCAUCAGCGGAGAAAAACAAACCUGUUUUUCCCCCUUCAGCGUGAUAACUGUGUUGCGCUGUGGUCGCGAAAGGGUCCGCUCAUAAUCGUCCUCGGACAAACACCAAAUCUG